AGUCGAACGGUCUCUUCGGAGAUAGUGGCGGACGGGUGAGUAACGCGUGAGAAUCUACCUUUAGGUUCGGGACAACAGUUGGAAACGGCUGCUAAUACCGAAUGUGUCGCAAGAUGAAAGAUUAAUUGCCUGAAGAUGAGCUCGCGUCUGAUUAGCUAGUUGGUGGGGUAAGAGCCUACCAAGGCGACGAUCAGUAGCUGGUCUGAGAGGAUGAUCAGCCACACUGGGACUGAGACACGGCCCAGACUCCUACGGGAGGCAGCAGUGGGGAAUUUUCCGCAAUGGGCGAAAGCCUGACGGAGCAACGCCGCGUGAGGGAGGAAGGCUCUUGGGUUGUAAACCUCUUUUCUCAAGGAAGAUAAUGACGGUACUUGAGGAAUCAGCAUCGGCUAACUCCGUGCCAGCAGCCGCGGUAAUACGGAGGAUGCAAGCGUUAUCCGGAAUAAUUGGGCGUAAAGCGUUCGUAGGUGGUGAUGUAAGUCUGCUGUUAAAGCGUGUAGCUUAACUACAUAUAGGCGGUGGAAACUACAUGACUAGAGUGCGUUCGGGGCAGAGGGAAUUCCUGGUGUAGCGGUGAAAUGCGUAGAUAUCAGGAAGAACACCGGUGGCGAAGGCGCUCUGCUAGGCCGUAACUGACACUGAGGGACGAAAGCUA
rnacentral:rRNA from 1 species